CUGUACUGUGACUUUUAAGAGCAUGCGGCUCCAAUGUGCUUCUGAGUUUUUGAUAGCUGAUGCUACCUACAUACUUGCCAGAGGUGAGGACAUGAAGAUGCAUUUGCUGUGUGCGCCUCAGCAGAGUGCUAUUCAGACACCGAGAUUCUUGUCACAAAAGCCCAACGUGCCUGGCAUUCCAUGUGCCGCACCAUCUCCUCGGGCUUUCCUAAGAUCUGUUUCAGCCUUGGCAAGGUCAUCGUAGAUGGGAUAGAAAUAAACAGAAUCAAGGAGGGAGACCUGUGGAGGACUGGCACUAGCCACCAGGGAAAUCUUGGUUCCUGGGGACCUCUAGAUCUCCACACGGGGACACUGUGAGGACCACCUACCCAGAUGGACAGUGAUCAGAUCCCGGAGAUGCCAGUCUUGGAGAUGACAGAUGAGCCUGGAGAUGACAGCUGAUCCUGACUGCAGGAUAUGAACAUGUAUUAAGAAGACAAAAACACAGUAUGAUCUGGAAAGGGAAGCUGGUUCACUUCCCGUUGGCAUAUAAACCCACUGAUGAAUUAGCGUAUGGACUAUAGCAUCGCUUUGUUAACUUAUCUUCCCAGCAGACAGGUAAGUGACUCCUGCGACCCCACAGCAUCACCCCCACCAUUCUGUUGCUCUAUUUCUAUGCUCUCAGGAUCUCAGCUGACUCUGAACUGCUAAUGAUUUGAGUCCUGUGUUGCAGAAGUGAUUAGAGUGGAUGAAGGGAUGAAUGAGUGAAAGAAGAAAUGACUGAAUUCCCUGAUUGAAUAAGUGAGUGAAGGAAUGAGUGAAUGAACGGAGUGAUUGAAUAAGUGAGUGCAGAAAUGGAUGAGUGGAUGCAAGGGUGAGGAAGGGAACAAAAAUAAUGAAAUGAAGGAGUUGUUGCCUUAACAAAGGGUGCACGGGAACGAGACACUAAGUGCUUACAGAAAGAUCAAAUGAAGUGAGUCCUGAGGACAAGACUGACCCACGAAGUCUGAGCAACUGGUGUAGGAAUGAUGGUGCCCGUGUAGGCCAGCCUCUCAGAGCAAGGCUCCUCUGGGAGGAUCAAGCCCAUUGGCAACACGCCUGCAGCAUCAGCAAAAGAGAGUUGCUCAUCUUUCCUCCUCUCUCCAAGUAUUCCACUCCAUGAGGUAAGUGGACGCCAAGCCCAGAGGCAGGGCCAGUGGUGGGUGCCAGUGUGUGCAGGCUUAUAACAGAGUCCCGCUGUUCUGGCAGGACCCCUUGAACUUCCUGGGUUUAUUUCCUUACAUGAAGCACUGUUCCCCCAGUAUCUCCCAGGGCAGGACUGUCCCAGGCAAAUACAAGCUUCCACAGGAGGCAGAGCCAGCGCAUGCUCUGGGCGGCCAGGCUGCUCUUGAGAGCGUUGAUGGACUUUAGUUUCUGCUCUGGGCAGCUCAGCUACCAUAUCACCCAAGAGGGAAGAAACUGGGAUGGGCUGUUUAUUUUGGGUGUCCUCAGAUAGACACCCCAUUGAUCUAAAUCACCGUGUAGGACUUAAUUGCUGUCAAUAAAUUCUUUCCUUCUGAGUUCUCAGAGUGGCCAUGUGUUUGGGGAACGAAGGAGACCUACACUAGCUUUUCUCUCCUGGUGUGUCCCUAUCUGACGGUAGCUAUAAGUCAUCAUAUCAGGUCCAUAGUCUGUGGGAAGAAGCUUUUGGUUUAUUCAUCACUUAAUAGCAAUUUCCUUCCACCACCACCCCCUGCAUGUUUCUCCACCUUGAGGAUUUUUUUUUAAGAUUUUUAUUUAUUUUAUGUAGAUGAGUGCUCUAUCUGCAUAUACACCUGCAUGCCAGGAGAGGGCAUCAGAUCCCAGUAUAGUUGGUUGCUGGGAACUGAACUCGGGACCUCUAGGAGAGCAGAAAGUGCUCUUAACCAUUGAGCCAUCUCUCCAGCCCCUCCACCUUGAGUUUUAUAGUUACCCUGUUUUCAGCUGCAUAUAUGAUGAGACAUUGUCUUUUCUCUCCUCUCUUUUCCUCUCCCCUCCUCUCUCCUGUAACAUAUAUGAUUAGACAGUAGCUUUCCUCCUCUUCCUCUCUCUUCUCCUCUCCCUUCCCCUUCCUUUCUCUUCUCCUCUCCUCUCCUCCCCUCUACUCUUCUCUCCUCCGUUCUCUUCCCUUCUUCUCCCCUCUUCUCUCCUCCUUGCCUACUUAGUCUUUCUGAAUUUUCUACAGUGAUUAUAUAUCAAUUUGUCAUGAUAGAAAUUAAAACAAGAAAGGAUGCUUACUCUAAACUGAAAGGAAGGUAAGUGAAAACAAGGGGGCCUUUAAAUGAGAAAGUGGGGUUUUCUGCAAAGAUCUUGAACAUUCCUGCUGUCAUUUCUGUGGCCUGAAUCUCAUGCUUAUGACUGACUGUAUAACAUUUCAAUGCCCUGUCCCCUGCCCCCCCCAAAAAAAAAAAAACCCAAAAAACAAAAAACACAGAGCAAGGCCAUGCUGUCUAAAUUCUUUGACUUGUUUCUUGAGUUUUCUUUCAUUGAUGAAAUUGAGAGAGCAAGUUAAGCAGAGCAGACAUGUGUUCUUUUGGCUUAGCGUUUAUCCUGACAACCUCCCAGGUCACCCUAUGACCCUGGGCACUGCUCUUUGGGUUAUGAAUAGGCAGGGGUCUCCUUAGAAGACUAAACUGAUGUGCAGAUCCAGCUGGACCUGAAGGUCUGGCCUUGGCUUAGAUACUGAGUUACAUAAAGAGAAGAUGCUGAGUGGCCGCCAUUGACCCAGCUCCUUAACUGAAUAUGAUGUCACAUUUUCAGUAAAAACAUACCAAGCCUCCCUUACCCAGUUCUCCCCUCCAUUCCAUUCCAUAACAGUCUCCCAUGGAAAUGUGGCUCCGGAAAUGAGCCGCCUGCAACCUGUGUUGGGAGGUCAGGUCUCUCCCAUGGGCUCCUUACUAAAGGAGUUCAGGCCCCUGCUGCUCCUGACUCACUUUUUAACCUGCGCUUUGCUCUUCCACUGUGUUUUGCCAUCCACCACAGGAGGAGGCAGCAUCAGGCCUCCGCCGGGUGUCAGGACCAGAUCGUGAGCUUCCCAUCCCCCAGAAGGCAGGGUCUCACUAAGCUGCCCAAGACAGCAUAGAACUUAUGAUCUUGGACAUCCUCCCGCCUCCUACUGAACAUCUGGUCUGACAGGUCUGAGCCAUCAUGUCUGGCUCCAAACUCUCCAGAGCAGGAGGGCUUCCUACAAUUGCUAAUGAAGGAGCAAACUGAGUCACCUCAAGCUGCAACCACAGCCUAGAAAGUCCAAGAUGCUCCUCCCUCAGAGAGCCAGGAAACCCAAAGGUGCCUGGGAUGAGUGGUAAAAGUAUCCGUGAAACGGGAAGUGGAAAUGCCAGCCCUUCCUCCACGCAGCUUCAGAAGUUUGCGGGGAAGGAGCCCUGUCGCCGUGUCUACCUCAGAGCUGGGUAUUUCUCAUCUUUGUGGAUUUUUUUUUUUUAACCUUCUCUUGGGGCAAUUAGAGAAAGAAAGAGGCCAAGAGUCCUAGACAAAAGCAGAGGCUCCAGUGAAAGCUCCCGAAGCCAGCUAUCUGUGGUCUUACUGGUUGUCCUCUACCCAGGAUGCCGUGGGGGCUAGGCAGUGCCUGAGAGCCUCCAGGCUGCUGCAGGUGGCAGCCAUCUUUGCUGAGGGUCCACUGUGGGCUACAAGGUGAACCUAAAGACCAGAAAUGGUUGCUCUUUGCUUUCCUCAAAUCCUAUUUUUUCCCCUCUAGGAAAAUGAACCCUUUCUUGUUUAUGUUAGGGGCAGGGGACAUGACCGGGCAUCUGUUUUAUGCUUUUAGAGUGUGUCAACAGGGUCGAAGCAAGAUAGCAGUGCUGUCUCAGACCCCAUCUGAGUGUGGGUUCCAUAAGGACACAGCAGGGGAAGAUUCCUGCAUGUGGCCAGCAUCCUAAGGAAGAGCACAUCAGAAAAGGGUAGUGGGCUAUGAGAGAGCAGCUGCCCCCACCUCCUGAGACAGUGGCAGCUGAGCACACAGUGCUGUGUGACAAGGAGGCUCAGUGAGCCAGGACCUAAAAGGCUUGUGUAGUGUCUGUCCAUGCUGAGGGGGCCUCCGAGUAAGGCUACACAGGCUCUGGGGGAGACAUCACUCAGCCCUGACACAGGAAUGCUGGGAGAAAAGCCCACACUCUGCGGCACACCAGGAGUGCAGGACAUCAGAUAGUCCCACCCGGAGAGGCUCUGCACAUCUCCUAAAAGAAGAAGGAUAUUUUGGACCAGCUCACAUUUCUGAACAGAUUUUCCUCACACUCACCAGCUGAAGGAGAAAUGAAAAAGCCUGUCCUGGCAAAAGGCAAGGCUAGGGGAUCGUGGGAGGUGUGUACCCUGGAAUUAGAACUGAAGGAGCCCACCUGCCUCCCAGUUCUCCAUCCAAGGACUUCAUUAUACUGCAUUUGUGUCAUGUUAUUUUCGAAGUCUGUCGGCAGGGAGUUGGGCUGCUUGAAUCGUUAAGGUCCGGGGAGCCCCAGCGCACGGCCAGAGUGGGCUCUCUUUAGCGGCAGUGGAAAGCUAAGCUGGGAAACGAGGGCUUGCCGAGCCCAUGUCUCUCUAGCGGGACUAGGCAUGUCUGUGCGGAUCCUCAUCGCAGUGACAAAAACUUCACACAACACAAUGGCCCCAUCCCGCCCCAGACUGCCAAAGCAAGUGUGGGAACCACAGGCGGUGAUGAUGGAUACCAAGGGUUGGAUGGCAGUUUCUGGGCACCGCAAGGUAUUUGGGGUGAAUCCCAAGGAUCACUCUACUCUCUCUCUCUCCCAUUAGACUCAUUCUGGGGUACCACAUGAGGCUGAAAGCCACACUGCGGAUCCAUGUCCACUGGGACCGCCAGCAAUGACUGCGAUUCCCACCGGAGGUCUCCGAGUCCUUUAGCCUACAGGCUUUCAUUUUAAAAUGAAGGAAAGCUGUGACUGCUAAGAGUGCAGGGUGUACUCGAGACCAAGAGAGCAGCUGCAGGAGCUGGGGUGUUCUGCCCACGUAGGAGAUCACAGGCUCUCGUGCAUUCACUCAUGCACGUACACGAAAUCCCACGAACCACACAUGCAUGCAUACCAUAUACAGCACACAAACCCCAUACCCAAACGUAACUCCCGCAACACACCACCACACACAUGAAUGUCACACGCCAUACGCAUGUGUCACAUACCACACAGCAUACACACAGAUACCCGACCUACCUCCACCCCAAACACCUAUGCACAACACACAGACGGCUAACACAUACUCGGGCACAAAGCCCUGCUGCUGUGGGGCAAUGACAAGUGGGUGUGUCCUGAGGGCACUCUGCUUGUCCUUUGGAGUAGAGUGGCACGACAGAGUUUGCACAGUUAGGUUCUUACUGUGUGCAAGAGAGCCUUGCUCCCUUCGUCACGAAAGAGGCAGCAUUAGUGGAGGUCAAAGCCAGGACAGGUGUUGCCCUGGUUGGUUUUUAUUGCCAAUUUGACACAGCCCAGAGUCACCAAUCGAGGGAUUGUCUGAAUCCCCUGACCUGUGGCCGUGUCUGUGGGGAAUGGUCUUGGCUAUAGAUAUAGAUGUAGGAGGGCCCAGCCCCCUGUGAGGUGAAGUGUUCCUUGGGCAGAUGGUCCUGGGCUGUAGAGAAAAAGAAAUCCAGCUAAGAGGGAGCCAGGAAAAAAAAUGUUCCUUCAUGGUCUCUGCCUCAGUUCUUGGCCCCAGGUUCCUGCUCUGAGGUCCUCUUCUUGGUGAUGGACUGAUACCUACAAGCAUAGGCUGAAAUAAACCCUUUCGUCUCCAAGUUGCUUUUGGUCAGAAUGUUAAAUCACAGCAACAGAAAGCAAAGCAGAACAGGGCCUCUCGAUCUUGCUAGCAUAGGUUUGUGGGUGUCAUGACUGAGUCUGAAUGCUAAUGAGAGACUAGCCACCAAGGCCACUGUUUUCUUCUGCCAGCUGCCUCGGCAAACCAACAAUCCUGAGUGCGUUAACUUGGAGACCUGUCUCCUGGGCCUCAUAACAGGCUUUGCGGAAGGAUGAAGCAGCAUCUGUCUUGUUUUGUACUCACUUGCUCGCGAAGUGUGUAAUUCAUAUUCCACUCACAGCCCUUGCAAUCUGCCCUCUGAUUAUGACUGAGUAGACUCUUGCUCUAAGUGUUUCUACCAGACAGGCAAGGUGGGUGGGAUUUCUUUUCAGAAGAGCCCGGUUCGAAUCAGUGUUGUCUGUGGCCCACCCGGGUGUCCAGCCAGAGUGAGGAACAGCAGGGCUAAGGGAUGGGCAUUCACUAUGGAGAAUCUUGCACCCCAGAACACCAGAAGUGGGGGACAAUCUGCCCAUGAGAUGAGAAAUCAUUAUUGCUCCGUUUAAAGAGAGCUUAGCACCAUCUGUUUCCCAUGCUGAGAUGGGGCCAGCUGGCCGGGUGGAAUCUCCUUACAGGCCCAGCAGAGAUGGUACCUCAGAGCUGGGCCAUGAUUAUCAUGA